rnacentral:rRNA from 1 species
GAUGAACGCUGGCGGCGUGCUUAACACAUGCGAGUCGAACGAUGAAGCCCAGCUUGCUGGGUGGAUUAGUGGCGAACGGGUGAGUAACACGUGAGUAACCUGCCCUUGACUCUAGGAUAAGCCCGGGAAACUGGGUCUAAUACUGGAUAGGAACGUCUACCGCAUGGUGGGUGUUGGAAAGAAUUUCGGUCAUGGAUGGACUCGCGGCCUAUCAGCUUGUUGGUGAGGUAAUGGCUCACCAAGGCGACGACGGGUAGCCGGCCUGAGAGGGUGACCGGCCACACUGGGACUGAGACACGGCCCAGACUCCUACGGGAGGCAGCAGUGGGGAAUAUUGCACAAUGGGCGAAAGCCUGAUGCAGCGACGCCGCGUGAGGGAUGACGGCCUUCGGGUUGUAAACCUCUUUCAGUAGGGAAGAAGCGAAAGUGACGGUACCUGCAGAAGAAGCACCGGCUAACUACGUG